rnacentral:rRNA from 1 species
CAGUAGCCACGGUAAUACGAAGGGUGCAAGCGUUAAUCGGAAUUACUGGGCGUAAAGCGUGCGUAGGCGGUUUGUUAAGUCUGUUGUGAAAUCCCCGGGCUCAACCUGGGGAUGGCAAUGGAUACUGGCAAGCUAGAGUGUGUCAGAGGAUGGUGGAAUUCCCGGUGUAGCGGUGAAAUGCGUAGAGAUCGGGAGGAACAUCAGUGGCGAAGGCGGCCAUCUGGGACAACACUGACGCUGAGGCACGAAAGCGUGGGGAGUAAACAGGAUUAGAUACCCCUGUAGUCCCUGUCUCUUAUAA